GCACAAAUGGUGUAACGGCAGCACAAGGGUCUCCAAAGCCUUUAGUCCGGGUUCAAAUCCUGGUUUGUGCG
rnacentral:tRNA from 1 species